rnacentral:rRNA from 1 species
GAUGAACGCUGGCGGCGUGCCUAAUACAUGCAAGUCGAGCGAACAGACGAGGAGCUUGCUCCUCUGACGUUAGCGGCGGACGGGUGAGUAACACGUGGAUAACCUACCUAUAAGACUGGGAUAACUUCGGGAAACCGGAGCUAAUACCGGAUAAUAUAUUGAACCGCAUGGUUCAAUAGUGAAAGACGGUUUUGCUGUCACUUAUAGAUGGAUCCGCGCCGCAUUAGCUAGUUGGUAAGGUAACGGCUUACCAAGGCGACGAUGCGUAGCCGACCUGAGAGGGGGGUUCGCCCACCCUGGACCGGAGCACCGGCCCAGCCUCCUACGGGGGGCAGCGGUAGGGAAUUUUCCGCAAGGGGCGAAAGCCUGACGGAGCAACGCCGGGUGGGUGAUGAAGGUUUUCGGUUCUUAAAACCCUGUUAUUAGGGAAGAAAAAAUGUGUAAGUAACUAUGCCCGUCUUGACGGUACCUAAUCAAAAAGCCCCGGCUACCUACUU